rnacentral:rRNA from 1 species
CUUGACAAACUUAUAAGAGGUCCAGCCUGCCCAGUGACUCUGUUCAACGGCCGCGGUAUCCUAACCGUGCGAAGGUAGCGUAAUCACUUGUUCUUUAAAUGAGGACUAGUAUGAAUGGCACCACGAAGGUUAUACUGUCUCCUUUUUCUAAUCAGUGAAACUAAUCUUCCCGUGAAGAAACGGGAAUAAAAAUAUAAGACGAGAAGACCCUAUGGAGCUUUAAACAAAUAUACACCUGCCUCUUUACCAAAAAUUUCAGAAGACAAGUAAUUACCCGGGCAUUUUGAUAUAGCGUUUUAGGUUGGGGUGACCGCGGAGCAAAAAAUAACCUCCGCAGCGAACGGGAGUAUUCCCUAAACCAAGGGCCACAACCCCAAGUAUUGAUAAAUCAACACCAAUUGACCCAAUAAAUUUGAUCAAUGAAC